GCCAAGGUGGUCUAGUGGUAGUGACACCGGAGAGGAGCCCCGCCUGCACUAGAUCCCUACGUGGAUGUUAGACACCACACAAAUUUGCGGAUGCCAGACACAGCGAGGGGAUUUAGUGGAUGCACAAUCACUCCCACCGGAAGCGCCAGUUCGAUUCUGGCCCUUGGCA